rnacentral:sRNA from 1 species
GGCUGAUCUGGUCGUCUAGCCUGGUGUCUCCUUCCUCACUCACUAACCCUUCUGCAUUCCUCCUUAGCUUGUGCACUUUGUCAAAGAGAACAAUCUUCCUCAAGAAAGGAAGAUCGUCCCUUAGUCAGGGGAUAUGAUAAGCUGAUUUUCCCCAUGAGAACCCCCAAAGAAUCUCCCAGGGUUUAAUUUUUUAAGAAAAGAAUCAGCUUAUUG